UUUACCGUUUGAUCUGAGUUUGGCCUUGAGGUUAAGAAAGAGAAAGAGAGAAGGCCUUCUGUCUUGUCACCUGCUCACUCUUUGUGUCUGUGGUGUAAAUGACUUAAUAAAUAAAGUCAAACUUAAGUUUAAUUUACUUCCUGUCAUCUCUUCAUUUGAAAGUCCGAUUUGUUUUUCAUUCCUUUCGGGACUUUUAUUUUGUAGGCGCCUGAGCGGAAACAGCUUAAUACCGCACAAACGUUUGAGGAAAUGGAGGGAAACGCCAAAAUGUUUGUACCGACGUUUCUAACUGUUACUUGCUGAAUUAAGCACCAGACUGAAACGGGAACAAGGUGGUGGAUGGCUGCUUUAACACCCAGAUGGAGCACAGCUUCUCCAGACACGGGCUGAAACUGUUAAAGAGAGGACAGAGAGACAGUGUGAAAGGGGGUGAGAGAGGGGACAACCUGCAGCAAAGAGCCGUGAGCUGGAAUCCAACCCACGGCUGCAUGGGGUGCCUGCUCUAUCCACUGAGCCACUGGACACCCCUCAGUAGCCCAUGUUUGCCCAGUAAAAUGAACGUGGCCUCCACAAACUCCAAGGGUUGAAAGUGCUAACAGUCCCUUUAUGCUUGUGAAAAUAAAUGUAAUUUUCUCUUUUAAGUGAAAUUCUACUUCUGGCCAAAAGCUGUGGCCAAAAGUCCAUCUGCAGCCUCAGUCACAUAUUGGAGCAAUGCUAUUUAUUAUUCAUCCUUGUUUUACUACCAUCAUGCAUGCUCUACUUUGUCCUUCUUCUCUUUCUUUGAAUCUGUUCAAUUAUAUCCUCUUUAAAGGGUUAUAAUCAUUAACAACUACUGAUUUCUAUCAACCCACUCUUCCACGCCCAGAUAUUCUCUACACGCAGUAAUCUUUAGGGACCUGACUGUCUGAAUACAAUGACAUCUGUGCAGGUAGGCAAAGACAUUCUGUUCACACUCCCUCUCAACCCUUUCUUUACUUGCGUUCACUCCCCAGCAAAUCAUCUCUUCUACUGUGCAUAGUUUGGCUUCAUUACCAAAUUUCUGUCAAUUAA